rnacentral:tRNA from 2 species
AGGAGCAUAGUGUAACGGCCAACACAGCGGUCUCCAAAACCGCCGCUUUCAGUUCGAGUCUGAAUGCUCCUGCCA